GGACGGGUGAGUAAUGUCUGGGAAACUGCCUGAUGGAGGGGGAUAACUACUGGAAACGGUAGCUAAUACCGCAUAACGUCGCAAGACCAAAGUGGGGGACCUUUGGGCCUCAUGCCAUCAGAUGUGCCCAGAUGGGAUUAGCUAGUAGGUGAGGUAAUGGCUCACCUAGGCGACGAUCCCUAGCUGGUCUGAGAGGAUGACCAGCCACACUGGAACUGAGACACGGUCCAGACUCCUACGGGAGGCAGCAGUGGGGAAUAUUGCACAAUGGGCGCAAGCCUGAUGCAGCCAUGCCGCGUGUAUGAAGAAGGCCUUCGGGUUGUAAAGUACUUUCAGCGAGGAGGAAGGCAUUAAGGUUAAUAACCUUAGUGAUUGACGUUACUCGCAGAAGAAGCACCGGCUAACUCCGUGCCAGCAGCCGCGGUAAUACGGAGGGUGCAAGCGUUAAUCGGAAUUACUGGGCGUAAAGCGCACGCAGGCGGUCUGUCAAGUCGGAUGUGAAAUCCCCGGGCUCAACCUGGGAAGCUGCAUCCGAAACUGGCAGGCUAGAGUCUUGUAGAGGGGGGUAGAAUUCCAGGUGUAGCGGUGAAAUGCGUAGAGAUCUGGAGGAAUAACCGGUGGGCGAAAGGGCGGACCCCCUGAUCAAAG
rnacentral:rRNA from 1 species